GACAAACUGAAGAGGCUGAUUCCAGACACUGAAGCUUUUUUUCUCAGUGAUAGUGUGAGCUUAUAAGUCUACUGUUUUAAUGUAAAGAAUACUCUCCAUUCUGGAAAAAAAAGAAGAUAACAGGACAAGCAGCAUGUAAAGCUAAAGUCACCAAAACUCUGCAAAGUCUGUGAUUAUUAACUGGAAAAAGACAAGAGGUGCCUACAAGGGCACUAUGUUACAGACAGUAAUAACCUGAAAAGGAAAUGCAAGGAGGGGAACAGAUGGCUUCAGAAAUUCCCCUGUACCAGAGUCAACAAGUUGUGAAUAGUACUGUGAUCUUACUAAGAAUUACUUCUCUGCUUAGAGGCACUCAGCUCAAUGUGACAGCUGAUGUGUUUGAAAUCAAGCAGGUGGACAAGUGGUAAACUCUUAUACCAGGACACAAUGCUGAAACCCAGGAGAAUGCAGAACCAGCAAAUUCUAAAAUUAAAUAAGGAAAUGUAAACUAAUUGAAAAAUAAGAAUUUCUGAGAAGUACAGCUGAUGAAAUAGGACUGUAAAACUAAGGAGUUUAUAAAAAGACUACACAUACUUCUUCAGAUAUGACUUGAAGGUUGCAUAAAAAGCUGAGCAUGCAAAGGUUUGGCCACUUCCGGGGAUAUUUAGCUGAAGAAACUGGUAAGAUCUAGAACUAUGGGGGGGCAAAAACAAAGGAAUUCAACUGUGUCAAGAUGAUCAAAACAAGACAAAUGGCUGCGUCUUUAAAAACUUGAAAAAGUUUUAAAAGUAUUGUAAAUCCUCAGAUUUUUUGCACAUUAAAGAACACUUGAUUUUGAAAGGGGUUGUGUAUGUAGUACAUGGGGUCAAACUCAGGAUUAUUGUUUGUAAAGUAGCACUAGUUAGUGUGAGUGACCGUGACACAACCCAGACCAGCAGGGAAUCUGAAUUGCUUAUUCACAUGAAAUGGUUUUAUACAC